rnacentral:misc_RNA from 1 species
UCUCCGUUGGUGAACCAGCGGAGGGAUCAUUACAGAGUUGCAAAACUCCCAAACCCUUGUGAACGUUACCUAUCCCGUUGCUUCGGCGGGCGGCCCGGGCCCCGCGCCCGGCGCCCCCCGGCCCCCCGUGGGCGCCCGCCGGAGGUAAACCAAACCCUUGAAUUGCAUGGCCUCUCUGAGUCUGCUGCACUGAAUAAGUCAAAACUUUCAACAACGGAUCUCUUGGCUCUC